GUUUUGAUAGCUUAAUUUUAAAGCGUCGAUCUUGUAAAUCGAAGACCGGAAGUUUAAAUCCUCCUCAAAAUA
rnacentral:tRNA from 1 species